AUGGGAAAAAAAGGAAAAUAUUUGAUUAAUCAAAAUCCAGAUUAAACAUCAGAAGCUCUCAAGAAUCCUCCAAAUUUACGUAAUUACGUGGAAUGAUGCAAGACCAUCACGACACGACCCACAACGCCAUCACUCUUACAAACCCUUUUCACCGAAAAAAAGAAAAGAAAAGAAGAAUCACUUUCCAGGCCCAAAGUUGGUGGCAUAGGCCCAAGCGCUGUUGUUCUUAGUGACAAUGGCCUGAACAAAGAACCCGAACAUCGAGAACAUGGCUAGUUGGCCAUUCUUGAUCUCCUUCACAUUCAGCUCGGCAAAGGCCUCAGGGUCCUCGGCCAGGCCCAAGGGGUCAAAGCUGCCACCGGGGUAGAGUGGAUGGGUCACCUCACCCAAGGGGCCACACGGUAGCCCUCGACUGCGCCCAUGAGGAUCACCUGAGUGGCCCAGAUAGCCAAGAUGCUCUGAGCAUGCACGAGGCUUGGGUUUCCCAAGUAAUCGAGCCCACCCUCACUAAAGAAUUGAGCACCAGCCUUGAACCACAAGGCCUCGCCGAACUUGACGCCAUUGCGCGAGAGGAGCUCUGGGAAGGCACACCCCAGAGCACCGAGCAUGGCCCACCUACAGUGGAUGACCUCGAGCUCUCUGUUCUUGGCAAAGGUCUCGGGGUCGGCGGAGAGGCUGGCGGUGUCCCACCCAGGGAACUCUCCUGUGAGGUAGGAUUGGGGGUGGGGGGGACUCCCUCCCCAGAGAACGGGCCAAGGUAUUUGACUCUGUCGGGACCAAACCACGGGGCUCCCUGAGGACACUGAGGGCUUGCUGGCGGUCUUCCUCAUGCUCACUCUACCGUCCCAACUGACGGCACCUCCGAACUCAGAUUGCAUGCUUACCGGCACGGCACGGCUUUGCCGGUGAAUGAGGGGGAGGAGAGGGAGAUCGUUGCUGAGCAAGGGUCGUAGAGAUAGGCAACGAGUGAAUGGGGGGGAGGAGAGGGAGGAGGGUUGUAGAGAUAGGCAACGAAAGGGAGUGAAGUGUAGAGUUGGUGCGUCAUCUCAUCUCAUCUCAUGUGCCUGUGUCUGAAGUGGUUUCCGUUUAUCCCCCAGGAUUUGAAUCUCGCAUUUGAUUGCUGAUUUGGCAACUAGUGUGGGACCCUAGGUAGGGCUCCUUAAAAAGAUAUGCUAUCCUCUUCUAUCUUGGGGAGAUUGAAUAAAACUGUUCAUCUUUUAGAGAUAUUUACUCGUAUAUUCCCUGAUAUUUAAAAUUUGUAUUAAAAUUUUCAGUUAUUAUCUUCAUAUUCUUUCUUUUAUUUUUUAUUUUUUAUCAUGUUUUAAAAUAAAAAAAUUGCGUAAAUUUGGGAUCUGUAGGAUCUAAAACUAAUAGUUUUGUAAUUUAUUUGCUCUGAAAUUUCAAAUAUUCAAAAUCUCAAAUCCAAAAUUAAGGUCUUUUCAUAUAUUUGAAAAAUCAAAAUUAAGAAUUAAUUUUAGUUUCAUAUUUUCAAUAUUUGCAAACUUUCAAAAAGGACAACCUUGAUUUUAGAUUUCUGCAUUUUGAAUGUAAAAACUAUGAUGUAAAAAUUUAUUUGCAUUUGAGAUUGGUUUUCACAGUUGUUCGCAAAUACCACUAUUUGGGAUGCCCCUUUAAACAUUUAAUCCCUGUACAAUACAAUUUGUUGUUUGAAAGAGGCAAUGAUAUAUUUUUUAUUUGUUAAAGGGAAAAAUGCACAUAAAUUCAUUAUUUUAAGCGUUAUUACAAUUUCACCUAAAAUUUUCUGUUAUUACUACCUUACCCAUUUCAUACAUGUUAUUAUAACAAUAUUUUUAAAAAUGAUUAAAUUGCUCUUUUCCGAUUUUCAAGAUCCGAAAUUUAUUUUUGCAUGAACUAACUAAGAUUGAAUUUUUCAUAUUUUUUUAUAUUUUGAAUUUUAAAAAUCUUAAAAUUACAAAAUAAAAUCUCUAUAAUUUCGAGUCCAAAUUUUCUUUUUCCAAAAUAAAAAAUCGACAAAUGAAACUCAACCAAUAGGAUGUGUAAAACAACUCCACAAAUAUUUUAUAUUCUCAGCCAAUAAUAAUAAUAAUAAUAAAAGUUAGCAUAAACUUUUUUCAAAUAUUUUCUCUUUUAAAAAGUCCUCGUCAAAAUUUUGAAAACUAACGUUCAAAAUUUUCUAUACACAAUUUUAGGUUCUUGAAGUUCCGAAAUUUUUUUUAUGUCAGAUCCAAAAAGGCAAUUUUGCAAAAAAACAUUCGUUGGUCCUAAGAAGGGAAUACAUGUAAUAUCGAAAAUUGUGAAUAAGUUAAAAUUUUAUCUGUUGACCGACGUUUGCGUUUCUCUUUUCUCUCUUUCUAUUUAUGUUCCCCUAAUUUCAGCAUUCUAAUUUCAUGUUAUUGCAGCAAUUUAUCAAUAAAAGUUUUGAAUAUUGUAAAAAAAAAAAAGGUUAAAAUUUUAGAGGAAAAUUUAUAAUAACACUUAAAAUAAUAGAUAUAUUUGUAAUUUUCCCUUUUAUCAAAAAAAAGAAAGAAAGGGUACUGGUCGUUUGAAAUGCCAAUAUCUGAUACUUGUUGGGGUUUUUGAAUAAUAUUAUCAUAUGAAUAUUUUGGAGCACCAAUACCUUACUAAGCAAAAUUAAUGUUCUCACGUACUACUCUUGUUUUGAUGUGUUAUUCUUACGAAGAAGCAAAUAGGAAGUUGUCCCUCCCUCAAUUUAUGAACAGAAGUGGUUUACAUGACUUAACAAAAUUUAUCAAAAGAAAAUGUGAAAGUGUUAAAUUAUGAAUCUCAAUAUUUUAGGGGUGAUUCUUUAAAGGGCCAAAUGGCGACUCUAAACAAUCAAAGUAAAGUGCACAAUCAAAUAGUGUCAAGAAAUGUGGUUUCAAUACUGAAAAUCUUUGUGAUAGUCUUAAAGUAUAUUUUAUUUCUAAUUAUAUAAUUUAAAGCUUAAAAAAUAGUGUAGAUUGAGUAGAUUUAUGAAAAUUUGAAAAUCUUGAAAAUCGACGGUCCAAAAAUGCAUUACAAGAUGCAUUAUUUCCAAAACUUGAAGUUCAUAUUUUUCUCAUGUAUAUGCAUCUUGAUGUAGAGAUGAUCAAUUUGAAGAUAUUUGGGAAUCAAAACAACCUAUUCUCGUGAAUUUUUUGAGGUUGGUGCUAAUUUGAUUGUUUAGAGCAUCGGCUCUAUAUAAGCUUUUGCCUUCUUUAAAAUCCCCCAUUCAUUAUUAAAAUGGAAAGCAAAGUAAAAGAAGAACUUUGUAAUUCCUUUUAUCUGUUGUAAAACAGUCGUAUGAAAUCUGACCAUACAAUUUGAUUAUUAGUUUAAGAUUUUAAAUGAUAAUAGUGGGAGGUGAAUGGAGGGCUACUUGGAAGCACUUGUUUUCUUGGAAGUUCGAGAGAUAGAAAUCCAUCAAAAUUUUUUAUAGGGAUUUUGAGCAGAGGAAAAGUGCCCCUACAUUCAUAUGGGAGCAGUUUUAAUUUUCCCGAUCAAUACCAUGAAAAAUAACUUUCCAAUGUGCUUUGGCCCAAAAUACUGUGCCCUCUCAAUUCAUCCGUUAUUAAGCCAGAGUUGUUCAUCCUUUCAAACAUAAUCCUAGUGAAAUUUUCAAUGAAUUGGUGACAAUUUCAGCCAAAAGAAGACUAUAUAAAAAAUAUGGUAAAAAAUAAAAUAUCUUACUAACCAAAAUCCAAGUUAAACGUUAGAAGCUCUCAAGAAUCCUCCAAAUUUACAUAAUUCAUUGGAAGGUCAAAAAAGGAAAGAAAAAAAAUGCAAGACCAUCACUACACAACCCGAAUCACUUUCCGGGCACAAAGUUGGUGGCAUAGGCCCAAGCGUUGUUGUUCACUGGGUCUGCAAGGUGGUCAGCCAGGUUCUCCAAUGGAACCUUCCCAGUGACACUGGCCUGAGCAAAGAACCCGAACAUGGAGAACAUGGCAAGCCGGCCAUUCUUGAUCUCCUUCACCUUCAGCUCGGCAAAGCCCUCAGGGUCCUCGGCCAGGCCCAAGGGAUCGAAGCUGCCACCAGGGUAGAGUGGGUCGGUCACCUCACCUAAGGGACCGCCGGCCACACGUUAGCCCUCGACCGCACCCAUGAGGAUCACUUGAGUGGCCCAGAUAGCCAAGAUGCUCUGAGCAUGCACCAGGCUCGGGUUCCUCAAGUAGUCAAGUCCACCCUAGCUGAAGAUUUGAGCACCGGCCUUGAACCACACGGCCUCACCGAACUUGACACCAUUGCAAGAGAGUGCUUUGGGAACAUGCAUCCCAAAGCACCGGGCAUGGCCCACCUGCCGUGGAUAACCUCAAGCUUUCUGUUCUUGGCAAAGGUCUCGGGGUCGGCCGGCAGUGUCCCACCCGUAGUCACCGGGGAACUCCCCUGUGAGGUAGGAUGGGGCCUCCCCAGAUAACGGGCCGAGAUACUUGAUUCUGUCGGGGCCGUACCAUGGACUUCCAGAUACUGGGGCCUUGCUAGCAGUCUUCCUCAUGCUCACUCUUCCAUCGCCGCCACGGACACCGACUCCGAACUCGGAUUGGGUGCUCACUGGCACCGCCUUGACAUCGUUGCCAUGGCGUUGCCUGAACAAAAGGAUGUAGAGGGUCGGCAAAGUUGGGAAGUGAAGUGAAGUGAAGAGUUGGUGUUGUGGGUGGUGUGUUUCUAUAGGUGGUGGUGGUGGAGGAGAGGCUCUCUAUGCCCUUCUAUCCAUUGCAAAUGGUGUUUCAUGGAGUGAUGAGUUGUACAGUUCUUGAAAACUAACUUAUAUUUUUCUUUUCUUCUCUCUCUGUUUUUAUUUUCUGUGGCUCGAACUGAAAUUCAUAUCUCUCUUUGUUGUUUCUUCUUUUAUCGUGGCUCCAUGUGAACUUCAAGUAUCGUGAUUGGAGCGUGCAUCAAGAGAACAAGAUUGAACCAUAUGUUUUGAAGUCCAUUUGUGUGCCCAUGGGCCAAAACCUUUUUAACAAAUUACAUUAGUGAAAAUGAGUGGUUUAUAUCUAAUGAAUAUUUGAAUCCUCGUUUGGGAAAAGAGCCCCCGCUUAAUUGGUUAGCCAAACCCUUUUUAACAGAUAACUUUAGUGAAAAUGAGUGGUUUAUUUCGAAUGAAUAUUUGAAUCCUUGUGUAGGAAAAGAGCCCGGGCUGGUUAGUGCUUGAUGAUUUACAACGCUACAUCCUAGGCUCAAUUCUUAGGGUUAGGACUAAUGAAAAAAAGAGUAAAGCCUUACCUUGAAACCUUGUCCGUAAAACGCUUUGGCCAUAGAAAUCUCGGCUCUAAUAUCAAUUUUUACUACCGAUUGUAAAGUUUAUAGCUAAAAAAAUGUUACAGAUCUUGCGGAUCCAUGAAUACUUGAAUAGUGGUGGUCUACACUCAAGAUAAUGGGUUAACAUACAACAUUUUUAGGGUUUGACAUCCUAAUUUUUUUUUCACAACUAUAAUGUUCAAGGUCGAGAUGUUAGAUUUGAAGGUCCUCCAAUGCCAUAACUGAAAUUUUCCAUGAGUUUUGAGGUGAGGCCUUAUUUAUUUUGAUAGGGCUGCAGCCUAUAAAAAUAUUUUCCAUACUUAAAAUAGAAACUAUAUGAAGGUAAGGGCCAAAAUUUUAUGGAAGGCCUUUGCGUGUGUCUGAGGAUGCACUUAUUGCAGUGAGUCCACGCUUCCAAAAUCCAUUCUGGAGACGGAUUUUGGAUUGGCAAUAAUGAUGAAUAUGGAAAAAAUGAAUUGGCGAUCAUGAUGCAUAUGGAAACAAUGAAUUCGAACCUUCAAAGGUCCAUUGCGUACCCUUCUAACAGACCCUCUGUUUCAAGUUUUCAAGGGUCAGAUCUAUAUUUUAUCUACAGCUCUGAACUCAAGGGUUUGACAUGAAUAUAUAUGUGAUUUGGGGUCUACAGGGUCCUUAAACUCAUGAAAACCAGGGGAGAGAGUCGGUGACGAAAACUUUUGAAAAAAUUUUAGCCGAAAAGAUAUUCUACUCGCUCAUAAAUAUACUGUAUAUUUACUCCCUGGGGUAAAACUUGACCUAGGAUUAAUUUUAAAAUCUAUCCAUCUUUAGAGGGUGAGAUUUAAACGUUAGAAAAAUCAAAUUACAAACUUUUUUAUUUUUAAAAUAGUCAUUUAGCAAUUCUAAGGUUAUUGCCAAAUUUUCAUAAUGAAAAAAAAUCUCCCAAAUAAGUCGUCUGACUAAAGGAGUAGAAGUUAACUAUGCUCCUGAGUGAGCAUAUGUGCUCAAUUUUUAUUAUUCAUAAAUCAAAAUGAUACAUUCAAAUUGUACUGGAAAGUAUCAUUUUCCAUCCUUUCAUGAACAAAUGAAAGGUGGUAAUUCAUUCUCUUUAAGAGAAAUCCAGGUUGGAAACAGUUUUUUUUUGUAAUUCACCUUUUCUAUUAGCUAAAAAUAUUAAGGCAGGCAUAAUUCUAGGACGAAAUAGCCAAUUUGCAUAGAGAUAUUAAAUAUUCUUGUAAAGAGAGAAACUCGUAAGCAGAGCUAAUGAAUAAGGCUCAACAAAGACCUCAAUGCUGGCUAGUACUUGGUACCAAAUUUUUUUAGGGAAAUUUACGUAAAUGUUUGCUUUAGUUUUUGUUAUUAUCAAAAUGUCAAAUACUUUCUGUUGUUAGUGAUAUGUUUAUUUUUUGGACUUCAUAACAAAAUUUUUUUUUUUAAAAAGACAAAACUACAAAUUUUAAGUUUUUCAAAAACCAAAAUCAAACCAAUUUCGGUUGUUUUUAGAAUUGAAAAUUUUAUUCUUCAAGAACCUAAAUUUUUUCUCUUUUGUAGGUCCUCUGUGUAUUCUCUUUUUAUAUUACAUGGGUAAAAAUGAUUUUUUUUUAACUCUUUCUCUCUUUCACCCAUCGUCUUCUUUUUUGGGUAAGUUUCACCCAACGUAUUGAGAGAGGAAUUUAGCUUGGUUUGGAUAUUCUCAUAGCUUGAAGAGUUUGAAUUAGCAAGAGAUCUCUUCUUGAAGGUAGGACAUCAUAUGCUGAAUCAUCAGCUUUCCAUUCUCUUAUGAUGUAGGGCCCAAACUUGUUGUUCUCUUGAUUUUAUCAAAUAACCAUGACUUCAUAGAGGUAUAGAGAGAAUACACUACAAGAGAAGGAAAAUGCCACAAACAGGGUAAAGAGAGAAUACGCCACAAGAUUUAUUCUAAUAUUCUAAUCUCAUAAUCCCUGAUAUUUUUCUUAAAUUUAGGGGCUCAAACCAGCUGUUCCUCCUUGAUUUUGUCAAUAACCAUGACUUUAGAGACGUAGAGAGAGAAUAUGCCACAAGAGAGAGAAAAUGCCACAAGAGAGGUAGAGAGAGAAUAUGCCACAAGAGAGAUAAAACAUUUUUCAGUUAUUGAAGAACCGAAAAUUUAAAAUUUUUGGUUUUUCAAAAAUUGAAAUUGGUCUUAUUUACGUUUUUGAAACUAAAAAAUAGGCAGUUUUGUAUUUUUUAAAAAAAUUGUUAUGAAGUCUAAAAAACAGAUAUAUCAAUAAUUACGAAAAAUAUUUAGUAAUAAUAGAAACUAAGACAAAUACUUAUGUAAUUUUCCUUUUUUUUUUUAUGGAAAAGUACUUAGACGUAUUAAGGGGCACAGUAAUAACUGUGCAAGACCAAACGUCCAUCCAUGAAAUGGAAUGCAACAAAGGUUGUUUCUACCUAUAAAAAUAAGAAAGUAUAUAAUUUGGUACAAGAUGGUCACAAUUAAUCUUGACCAUUGGAUGUGAAAUUGUGUGGCGGCAUUUAUUUCAUUAACCAAGCUUAAAGUUCAAAAUAAAUUUUUUUAACUUUAUAAAACACCCAAGCUAUCAUAUUUUACUUUUGAUACAAAGGCGGUCACAAUUAUGUACAACGAUCCGAUGUGAAAUUUGAUAGCUUUAGUGUGCAUAACGUUAAAAAAAAUUUCUUUUAAAGUUUGAGCUUGAUCAAUAAAAUAAAUGCAGCCACCCAAUUUCACAUCAUGUGGUCAAGAUUAAUUGUCACCACCUUGUACCAAAGGUAAAUGGUUUCAUUGUACUAUUUUCCAUCAUGAAAUGAGAGACCAAAUACAUUGAAUGGCGAUACAUAGUAUACUAUGAGCACGUAUAUUGUGCUUGCAUGGAGCAUAGUGUGUAUCUACUCCCUUGGUCUGAAGACCUACUUGGGAGAUUUUAUCAAAUUGAAUUUUGGAAACUACCAAAGAACUACUAUACGAUUAUUCUCAAAAGACAAAAAUAAAUAAAAUCUAUAGUUUUCUUAAAUUUUACUCAUUGAAAAUUGUUCAAUCUUGAGACGUUAUUACUUUAUGUGCAUAUAUGGUCGAAUUAGGAUUAUAUUUUUUUAAGUUAAUCCAUGGGGUGAAGAGGUUCUUAACUAAUUGGGGUCGGUUACAUCCUAGUCCACCAUUAUGCUCUAUUAAGAACGAAUACCCUCAGUGAGACCGUAAAUCCCCUUAUCUUUUCUCACUACUUUCAGCUAUGCCAUUUUCGCCAUAUUCUUUACCUUUUUUGAUCUUUCCACUAAUAUUGUGCCUUAUAAACUAAAACCGGUCUCAUAGCUGUCUUAUAAAACUUGUCCAUCAUCUACAUUGAUGUACGUCAAUCACAUAAAAACGAGUUGCACAUAUUCAACUUGUCCACCGAGCUCUAACUCUACGUACAAUAUCUUUCUCGAUCUCCUUAAAUUAAUAAUACUGGGGAUUUUAGUUGAGAGAGUAAAUGGGGUGGAAUGUAAGAUGAAUCGGCAUAUAUCGCCUUUGUCAAAUAAUACGAAAGUUCAUUUUUGUGGUGUUAGGACCAUUAGCUUGAGAUAUUUAACCUCGUAUGCAAAAAUCUCAACCAUUCAUCCACUGGUUCCAGCGGCCAGUCCCAACACGUCAAGAGUGAAAUAUCUCUUAGUGGUGGCGGUGGUGAGCUGAUAAAUCGGGUAGACACGUGGAUGGUAUUGGAGAGAUCAGGAAAAUCUUAACCCAAUGAGAUGCGAGAUUAAGAUUUCCUAGGAUAAGGAGCCACUCCAGCCUUCAACUAUUUAAGCAAAGGCACAGCACCACUCAUUCUAUACACAGCACAGCACAGCCCAACCCAACCCCUUUCUCUAAGCAACGUUAAGGCUACGACAUGGCAACGAUGGCUCUCUCCUCCCCAGCAUUCGCCGGCAAGGCGGUGCCUGCCAGCACCCAAUCUGAAUUCGGAAUCGGUGUUCGUGGCGACGGAAGAGUGAGCAUGAGGAAGAGUACUAGCAGGGCCCCGGUGUCUGGAAGCCCAUGGUACGGCCGCGACAGAGUCAAGUACCUCGGCCCGUUCUCCGGGGAGCCCCCGUCAUACCUUACUGGGGAGUUCCCCGGUGACUACGGGUGGGAUACUGCGGGCCUCUCGGCCGACCCCGAGACCUUCGCCAAGAACAGAGAGCUCGAGGUCAUCCACUGCAGGUGGGCCAUGCUCGGUGCUUUGGGAUGCGUUUUCCCAGAGCUACUCUCUCGCAAUGGCGUCAAGUUUGGUGAGGCUGUGUGGUUCAAGGCCGGUGCUCAAAUCUUCAGUGAGGGUGGACUCGACUACUUGGGGAACCCGAGCCUGGUGCACGCUCAGAGCAUCUUGGCUAUCUGGGCCUGUCAAGUGGUCCUCAUGGGCGCGGUCGAGGGCUACCGUGUGGCCGGUGGUCCCCUGGGUGAGGUGACUGACCCACUCUACCCCGGUGGCAGCUUCGAUCCCUUGGGCCUGGCUGAGGACCCUGAGGCCUUUGCCGAGCUGAAGGUCAAGGAGAUCAAGAACGGCCGGCUUGCCAUGUUCUCGAUGUUCGGGUUCUUUGUUCAGGCCAUUGUCACUGGAAAGGGUCCAUUGGAGAACCUGGCUGACCACCUUGCAGACCCAGUGAACAACAACGCUUGGGCCUAUGCCACCAACUUUGUGCCCGGAAAGUGAUUCUUCUUUUCUUUUCUCUUUUUUUUUCUUCGGUGAAAAGGGUUUGUAAGGGUGAUGGCGUUGUGGGUCGUGUCGUGAUG
rnacentral:lncRNA from 1 species